UACGUAGGGGGCAAGCGUUGUCCGGAAUCAUUGGGCGUAAAGAGCUCGUAGGCGGUUCCGUAAGUCAGGUGUGAAAAAUCUGGGCUCAACCCAGUGGAGCACCUGAUACUGCGGUGACUCGAGUCCGGUAGGGGAGUGUGGAAUUCCUGGUGUAGCGGUGAAAUGCGCAGAUAUCAGGAGGAACACCGACGGCGAAGGCAGCACUCUGGGCCGGUACUGACGCUGAGGAGCGAAAGCAUGGGGAGCGAACAGG
rnacentral:rRNA from 1 species